UGUAUGUGUCUUUAUGUGCCUGUGACCAUCCCGGGCCACUGUCCCUCAGGCAGAGCCAGCUGGCCCCAGGAGAAGAGGUCAUAGAGGCAGCCAUGGGGAGGCUGGGAUCUGUGGCUCCAGUGAGUUGGAAGACAGUGGAGACUUUUCAGCAUUGAUAGAUCACAUCCCGUGUCCUCCAUCUGCGGCAUCCUGUGGCCAACCUAACCUCUCUGAACCCCAGCUUCCUGGCCUGGGAAAUGGAGCAACACUGGUUAAAGCACUCCCCGGAGGGACGCUCUGAGGACAGGAAGCACCUGGACAGGGUCUGCCCAGAGCUUCCAGCACACAUCGCUGCUGCCCAGCACUCAUGGAACCUUCUACUUCAAGAUGGAAUAUAGGAGCCCCCAUCAUCUGGCUCCAUGUGGAUGAAGACCUGCAUUUAUUGCCUUUACAGUCAUGUGCUCCCUGGACAGUGAGAUGAGUGCUCCACCAAGAGACAGAGUCAGCGCAGGCAGGUGCAACUUGGCCCUUGAACGGUGGAUUCCCGAUGGCAGGAUCUUGGACUUUUCUACUUUCUCUGGAGAGCAAGACAGGGAGAGCCAGCUUAACCAUGGCCUGGAGAGGUGAUCUGCCAGGAAGAAAGGGGGAGAGGCUGCCUAAGGAUGAAGAGGGGCACACGCAUAUUCCCAAGAACAAACGUGAGAACUGUACAGCACCUGAACCGAGCACUCAGUGUCUGAAGCCAGAGGGGAAGAGUUUUGUACCUCCGAAGUGGGUGUCCCUGGUUCGCCCUGAGGCUCCUGAGUGAGUGAUGGGCAUCUUAAGAUGCAAAACCUCAUGAAGAAGAGUUCACAACCAGGUACGCCGCGAGAGGACCAGCUCUUUGGAGAUGAAAUGCAGCACAUGUUAAGUCAUGGGUUCAAGUCAAACAUGCUCUAACGGACACAUAGUGGAACCAAAGGCAUAGUUUAGCAGCAGGUCUUCCGGAAAACAAGCAACCAACACAAGCAAAACCCUGACUUGCUAAGACAGAAGGUGGGAGUGGGAGCAGCUUUGACAAGCCCUGUGGCAAAUACUGUGGCUAUUGCCAUUCACAGAUGAGGAAACCGAGACCCCAGGUUGGUCUGUCACCCCUCGGAGUCACACAUGUGGCAGGGAGAAGAACCCACAGACGCUGUUUGAACGAUGUGGCUACAAUCUCACAGUCUCCAGCCUCAGCUGCAUCCUUCAUAUUUCCUAGAUACGCCCAAUGACCUCUUUAGCUUCUCUUUCCCUGUAACAGAUGACAUCUCCCUCCCUCCUAGCAAAUGAUCUGAUCUCCUAGCUCAUAGAGAUGAUAGAAAUUGUCA